AUCUGCCCUUUGGCCUGGAAUAACACGAGGAAACUUGUGCUAAUACCGGAUAAGUCUUUACGGAGAAAGCUUUAUGCACCAUUGGAGGAGCCUGCACUAGAUUAGUUUGUUGGUGGGGUAAUGGCCUACCAAGACUGUGAUCUAUAGCUGAUUUGAGAGGAUGAUCAGCCACAUUGGGACUGAGACACGGCCCAAACUCCUACGGGAGGCAGCAGUGGGGAAUCUUGCACAAUGGAGGAAACUCUGAUGCAGCGAUGCCGCGUGAGUGAAGAAGGCCUUUGGGUUGUAAAGCUCUUUCGUCGGGGAAGAAAAUGACUGUACCCGAAUAAGAAG
rnacentral:rRNA from 1 species